rnacentral:rRNA from 1 species
GAUGAACGCUGGCGGCGUGCCUAAUACAUGCAAGUCGAGCGAACGGACGAGAAGCUUGCUUCUCUGAUGUUAGCGGCGGACGGGUGAGUAACACGUGGAUAACCUACCUAUAAGACUGGGAUAACUUCGGGAAACCGUAGCUAAUACCGGAUAAUAUUUUGAACCGCAUGGUUCAAAAGUGAAAGACGGUCUUGCUGUCACUUAUAGAUGGAUCCGCGCUGCAUUAGCUAGUUGGUAAGGUAACGGCUUACCAAGGCAACGAUGCAUAGCCGACCUGAGAGGGUGAUCGCCCAGCUUGGAACUGAGACAGGGUCCAGACUCCUACGGGAGGCAGCAGUAGGGAAUCUUCCGCAAUGGGCGAAAGCCUGACGGAGCAACGCCGCGUGAGUGAUGAAGGUCUUCGGAUCGUAAAACUCUGUUAUUAGGGAAGAACAUAUGUGUAAGUAACUGUGCACAUCUUGACGGUACCUAAUCAGAAAGCCACGGCUAACUACGUG